rnacentral:rRNA from 1 species
AGUGAACGCUGGCGGUAUGCCUAACACAUGCAAGUCGAACGGCAGCACAGUAAGAGCUUGCGCUUACGGGUGGCGAGUGGCGGACGGGUGAGUAAUACAUCGGAAUCUACUUUUUCGUGGGUGAUAACGUAGGUAAACUUACUCGAAUACCGCAUACGACCUACUUGUGAAAGCAGGGGAUCUUCUGACCUUGCGGUAUUGAAUGAGCCGAUGUCGGAUUAGCUAGUUGGCGGGUUAAAGGCCCACCAAGGCGACGAUCCGUAGCUGGUCUGAGAGGAUGAGUCGACACACUGGAAGUGAGACACGGUCCAGACUCCUACAGGAGGACGCAGUGGGGAAUAUUAGAGAAUGGGGGAAAGGCUGAUACAGCAAUACCGGGGGGGUGCAGAAGGAGUUAGGGUUGGAAAGUCAUUUUGUUGGGAAAGAAAAGAAGCAGGUUAAUACGCCGCUGUAAUGACGGUACCGAAAGAAUAAGCACCGGCUAACUUCGUG